rnacentral:rRNA from 1 species
AAUAUUGCACAAUGGGGGAAACCCUGAUGCAGCAACGCCGCGUGAAGGAUGAAGGUUUUCGGAUUGUAAACUUCUUUGAUUGGGGACGAUAAUGACGGUACCCAAAAAACAAGCCACGGCUAACUACGUGCCAGCAGCCGCGGUAAUACGUAGGUGGCGAGCGUUGUCCGGAAUUACUGGGUGUAAAGGGCGUGUAGGCGGGGAUGUAAGUCAGAUGUGAAAUUCCAUGGCUCAACUGUGGCGCUGCAUCUGAAACUAUGUCUCUUGAGUGCUGGAGAGGAAAGCGGAAUUCCUAGUGUAGCGGUGAAAUGCGUAGAUAUUAGGAGGAACACCAGUGGCGAAGGCGGCUUUCUGGACAGUAACUGACGCUGAGGCGCGAAAGCGUGGGGAGCAAACAGG